rnacentral:rRNA from 1 species
GAUGAACGCUGGCGGCGUGCCUAAUACAUGCAAGUCGAGCGAACGGACGAGAAGCUUGCUUCUCUGAUGUUAGCGGCGGACGGGUGAGUAACACGUGGAUAACCUACCUAUAAGACUGGGAUAACUUCGGGAAACCGGAGCUAAUACCGGAUAAUAUUUUGAACCGCAUGGUUCAAAAGUAAAAGACGGUCUUGCUGUCACUUAUAGAUGGAUCCGCGCUGCAUUAGCUAGUUGGUAAGGUAACGGCUUACCAAGGCAACGAUGCAUAGCCGACCUGAGAGGGUGAUCGGCCACACUAGAACUGAGACACGGUCCAGACUCCUACGAGAGGCAGCAGUAGGGAAUCUUCCGCAAUGGUCGAAAGCCUGACGGAGCAACGCCGCGUGAGUGAUGAAGGUCUUCGGAUCGUAAAACUCUGUUAGUAGGGAAGAACAUAUGUGUAAGUAACUGUGCACAUCUUGACGGUACCUAAUCAGAAAGCCACGGCUAACUACGUG